ACGGAAGGCAGCAGUGGGGAAUAUUGCGCAAUGGGGGGAACCCUGACGCAGCAACGCCGCGUGAGUGAAGAAGUAUUUCGGUAUGGAAAGCUCUAUCAGCGGGGACGAAGAUGACGGUACCCGCAGAAGAAGGCCCGGCUAACUACGUGCCAGCAGCCGCGGUAAUACGUAGGGGACAAGCGUUAUCCGGAUUUACUGGGUGUAAAGGGAGCGUAGGCGGCCAGACAAGUCAGAAGUGAAAGCCCGCGGCUCAACUGCGGGACUGCUUUUGAAACUGCCAGGCUAGAGUACUGGAGGGGCAAGCGGAAUUCCUGGUGUAGCGGUGAAAUGCGUAGAUAUCAGGAAGAACACCGGUGGCGAAGGCGGCUUGCUGGACAGAGACUGACGCUGAGGCUCGAAGGCGUGGGGAGCAAACAGGAUUAGAUACCCUGGUA
rnacentral:rRNA from 1 species